rnacentral:rRNA from 1 species
GAUGAACGCUGGCGGCGUGCCUAAUACAUGCAAGUCGAGCGAACGGACGAGAAGCUUGCUUCUCUGAUGUUAGCGGCGGACGGGUGAGUAACACGUGGAUAACCUACCUAUAAGACUGGGAUAACUUCGGGAAACCGUAGCUAAUACCGGAUAAUAUUUUGAACCGCAUGGUUCAAAAGUGAAAGACGGUCUUGCUGUCACUUAUAGAUGGAUCCGCGCUGCAUUAGCUAGUUGGUAAGGUAACGGCUUACCAAGGCAACGAUGCAUAGCCGACCUGAGAGGGGGAUCGGCCACACUGGAACUGAGACACGGUCCAGACUCCUAAGGGAGGCAGCAGUAGGGAAUCUUCCGCAAUGGGCGAAAGCCUGACGGAGCAACGCCGCGUGAGUGAUGAAGGUGUUCGGAUCGUAAAACUCUGUUAUUAGGGAAGAACAUAUGUGUAAGUAACUGUGCACAUCUUGACGGUACCUAAUCAGAAAGCCACGGCUAACUACGUG